AAAAGGUUUUAUUUUAGCAUAAAAUUUGGGGUUUUAAAUGAUUUAUAUGUAUAGUUAUAUUAAAAAUUUUUUUUCAGUAUAUAAUUUUAAUAUAUUAUUUAAGUAAUUUUAGUAAUUUAUAAGAGAUUUAAUAAAAUUUGUGCCAGCAAUUGCGGUUAUACAAAUAAUUCAAUCUAAAUUUAUUGGUUAAUAGUUAAUUUUUAAAAAAAAUUUAUAAUUAUUAUUUUUAGGUGAAAUUAUAUAUAAUAAUUUAAGUUAAAUUUUUGUUAUUUGAUUCUAUUAAAGUUUAUAUUAAACUAGGAUUAGAUACCCUAUUAUUUUUACUGUAAAUAUAUUUACCGAAAUAGUAUUAGUAAUUCUUGAAAAUUAAAAAAUUUGGCGGUGUUUUAACUAUUUAGAGGAAUCUGUUCUGUAAAUGAUAUUCCACGAUUAUUAGUACUUUUUUUUUAAUUUUGUAUAUCGUUGUUGUAAGAAGAUUUUAUUAGAAUAUAAUUUUCAAAUUUUUUAUAAAAUUAUAUUUCAAAUCAAGGUGCAGAUUAUGAAUGAGGAGUAAUGGAUUACAAUUGAGUUAUCAUUGGUUUAAAUGGUUAGUAUUUUUAAUAAAUUGGAUUUAAUAGUAAUAUUAAAUUUAUAUUUAAUAUGAUUAAAGUUCUUAGACAUGUACAUAUUGCCCGUCGCUUUCAUUUUAUUUGAGAUAAGUCGUAACAGAGUAGGUGUACUGGAAAGUGUACCUAGAAAGAC
rnacentral:ncRNA from 1 species